ACUCAGAAGACAGUGCCACUUACUGAAAGGUUUUUUUCUCUCAGUAAGUGGCACUCUGUCUUCUGAGUU
rnacentral:miRNA from 1 species